CCUACGGGAGGCAGCAGUGAGGAAUAUUGGUCAAUGGGCGAAAGCCUGAACCAGCCAUCCCGCGUGCAGGAAGACGGCCCUAUGGGUUGUAAACUGCUUUUCCAGGGGGCGAACAGUAUCGACGUGUCGGUAUUUGACGGUACCCUGGGAAUAAGCAUCGGCUAACUCCGUGCCAGCAGCCGCGGUAAUACGGAGGAUGCGAGCGUUAUCCGGAUUUAUUGGGUUUAAAGGGUGCGUAGGCGGAUAAAUAAGUCAGUGGUGAAACCCUGCAGCUUAACUGUAGACUUGCCGUUGAUACUGUUUGUCUUGAGUAUGGUCAAGGUAGGCGGAAUGUGUAAUGUAGCGGUGAAAUGCUUAGAUAUUACACAGAACACCGAUUGCGAAGGCAGCUUGCUGGACCAAUACUGACGCUGAUGCACGAAAGCGUGGGGAUCGAACAGGAUUAGAUACCCUGGUAGUCCG
rnacentral:rRNA from 1 species